AUGGCGCACAGCUGUCGGUGGCGGUUCCCCGCUCGGCCCGGAGGGAGCAGCAACUUAGGCACCGGGAGGAGAGCGGGCCGAAUCCGGGUCACGGCCUCCCUCCGAAGUGGCACUGGGACCAACCCGAACACGGCUGGGCUCGGGCCCGGCUUUGAUGCAGCGUUACAGGUCUCAUCUGCUAUCGGUUGCAACCUGCAGACAUUUCGGGAUGUUUUGGGGGAGUCGAGUGGUUCAAGCAGCGGAGAGGAAGGAGCAUUUGGAGGGUUUAGUACAGUCAGUGAACACCGACGAAAACAGAGUCCGUCAAGGACGUUGGCAGUUACUCCCACGCAGGAGAAGAAGCCCAGAGGCCGACCCCCACGGGCCCUGACUGCACAGAAAGGGGCCGCAGGCGCUGGGCCUUCGCCUGCCUUGGGGAAACCUGAGGGCCAGGAACGGCUUGCGGAGAAGGCCAAGCGGCUGCCCGGGAGGCCGCCUGGCUCCGUAGAGAAAAGGAGAGGCCGUCCUCCAGCCUCUGUCACACAGAGGAGUUGGGAGGCCCGCAGCCAUGCAGCCAACAACAAUGACAGCAGGCAGGUGGGGCAGGAGCACGCCUCCACAGCUGCACACCGCAAGGACAGGGCCGAGGACGGGAAGGAGAAGAAGGCCACCAAGAGAACGCCCCUGGGCUCCGUGCAGCAGCAGCACGACACAGAGGCCAAGCCUCCCAAAGCGAGCCGCGUGUCCAAGGUGACCAAACUGAAGCGGCUGCGCGAGGUCAAACUGAGCCCGCUCAAGUCGCGGCUCAAGGCCAUCGCCAGGAAAUGUGUACCGGUGCCCGGCGUGCCUCGGCGCAGACGAGGACGGCCUCCCUCUGCCGAGCGCCUCAAAGCCGAGGCUGCCUCCGCUGCUGCCCAGGCCUCUGGUUCAGAUGAAACCAAACAAAAGGCCUUCAGGGUCCGCCGGGACAGAUAUAGGGACCCCCACACUCCUCAACAGCAGUCUAAGCUCAGGGCGUCCCACGUUGCUGAGGAGGACGACAGCCCCGACGUCCACAGCUCCUCCCCGCCCUCCAGCCCGCUCGCCGAAUCCUCUCCUUCCAAGCUGGGCAGGCCGCUGAACCUGAGGACCAGCCCUCGCCACGUCAAGCCCGUGCGGAUCGUUCCCCCCUCCAAACGCACUGACGCCGCAAUCGCCAAGCAGCUGCUGCAGCGUGCCAAGAAAGGUGCGCAGAAAAAGAAACUGUUAGAGAAGGAGGCGGUGGCCAUAGGAAGCCAGGGGGGGGCAGGCAUGGAGGCAGGCAUCCGGAAGAGGAGGAGAACGCAGCUGAAGAACAUCAGGCAGUUCAUCAUGCCCGUGGUGAGCACCGUCUCACUGCGCAUCAUCAAAACCCCAAAGCGUUUCAUCGAGGACGAGGGCAGCUUCGGGGCCCCUCACCCCCACAUGAAGAUAGCACGGUUUGAUGCUGUCCCGCCCCCUGUCGCUGCCCCCCAGCCCGCCUCGGCCUCCUCCCCCAUGCGGGCGUCUACAGCUGCAGUUACUACCGCCGCUGCUACAGCCGUGACCGCAGCUCCGGUCGACACCAUCCCUCCCCCCGCCGCCAUCGCAGCCAGCAGUGCUACGGCCGUGGCGGCCGGUCUGCUCAACAACCGCUGCAACAACAGCACCAGCAACGGGCGCUUCAGCAGCAGCGCCGCCUCGUGUGGCUCCAGCGCCAUGUCCCAGCACUCCUCCCAGCUCUCGUCGGGAGAGUCGUCCCGCUCCAGCAGCCCCAGCCUGGACGACUCGUCGUGCGACUCCCAGGCUUCGGAGGGCACUCAGGCCUUGUCCGAGCGAGACCACUCCCCGUCCUCCCAGGGAGAGAGGGAGGGGGACUUGCUGCACACCUCCAGGCCGCUGUCGGAGCCCGAGCCGGAGCAGCGGGUGCUGAUUGAGAGGGGCCGGCGGGGCCGCAGAGGCCAGGGUGUGGGCAGGGGCAGCCUUGGGGCAAGGGGAAGAGGCAGCCUGGCCACCGGAGGGAAGAAGGCCAUCAUCAGUCCAGCCACAGGAGUGUUGAUGUCCAAUUCUCAACAGGCUGCCUCCUCGUCCCCUCCCCCUCUCCUUAGCCCCCCACAGCAGGCCCAGUCAGGCUCCAUUACGGCGGAACAUCACCCCCACUCCCCUUGGAUCCUGCCCCACCCGUUUCUCCAAGGCCCGUCAUUGGUGCUCUCCAGCCUGCAGGACAAGCGAAGGUCCAUCUUGAGAGAGCCCACCUUCCGCUGGACAUCACGGUCUCGCACCGAGCAGCAGUACUUCUCCUCCGCUAAGUACGCCAAGGAGGGUCUUAUCCGCAAGCCCAUCUUCGACAAUUUCCGCCCUCCCCCUCUCACGGCCCAAGACGUAGGUCUAAUGCCCCAUGGUGCCGGGGGGGUUGCUCCAGUGGGUUACCCCGCGCCAGGCAGUGGCGGUGGGUCCGGGGCCGGCACCCGCCUGUACUCCCCACUGCACCACCACCACCACCAGCAGCACCCCUCGUCCUGCUUCGAGUCACCGCUCCAAAAGCGCAGCCCACUGCUGCGCGCCCCACGCUUUACUCCCAGCGAGGCGCACUCGCGCAUCUUUGAGUCGGUCACCUUGCAGUCGUCAUCGGGGAGCAGCCCGGGAUCGCUGUCCCCCCUCCAGUCCUCCCCCAAGUCGGGCCGGUCGGUGAGACGCAGGAGGAGGAAGACCCUGGGACCCCUGCGUGGGCAGCCCCGGUCUCCAUCACACUCCAUGACCACACGGAGCAACCAGCCAGGGGCCCCGCCAGGAAAGGCCCCCUCUGAACUGUGUCUGCUGACAGGCUCUGUCUCCACUGGUGCCAGCAGCACCUGUAGCUCCUCCAGCUCUCUGCCCACUAGUGCCUUAACACCUGCCCCUUUCAGUACCUUCUCACCGGGCCCCCUGGGCCUCUCCUCACAUGGGCCUUCCUCCUCCGAUGUACACAGAGCAGCCGGGAGCCUUGGUGGCGGUACGGGCGGCAACUCUGGCUCUUCCUCCUCUUCCCAACUCUUCCCCCUCUUCACUUCCAGCCCCCAGGAGACGGGCCGCGGUGCCGGGAAAGGGGGGAGAGAGAGGAGCACCUCGGCUUCCCGGGACUCGGCUCCUGUCAAGGAGAUGGAAAGGGAGACUGAGAAAAGCAGAGAGCGUGAGAAAGAGAACAAAAGGGAAGGUAGAAAAGAUUGGGAGAGGAGAGGGAAGGCGUCCACUCCAGACGCCUCUCCUAAUACGACCCCCAGCCUGUUUGCCGUGGAGGGGAGGGACGGGGAGGAGUCUCUGACCUCCAUCGCUCCUAAAAAGACACCUGGGAGGAAGAAGUCUGUGUCCGUAGACUCGGGUACAGAGACGGCACCUGUAGACAGGGCUGCAGUCCACUCCUCUAUUCCCCUUAUCUUGACCAAGGGCCGUGCCUCCAAAAAGACCCGGCCCUUGGAGAGGGGGCCAGAGGUUGAGCCUGGGGAGAAGGAGAAAACAAGUGCCCCUGCCCAGCUGACAGGCCUUCCCCUGGGGCAGAUCGGCAGCAAGAAGCCCCUGGCUGCCCCGUCACUGGGUUCCAUGCUGGCGCACGCCGAGAAGCUGCCUGUGGCCGACAAGCGGGUGGCCGGCCUGCUGAAGAAGGCCAAAGCGCAGUUGUUCAAGAUCGAGAAGAGCAAGUCGCUAAAGUCUCCAGACCAUCCUAAAGUUCAGAGCCAAGAGAGCGACUCUUCGGAGACGUCGGUGCGAGGGCCGCGCAUCAAGCACGUGUGUCGGCGCGCCGCUGUGGCCCUGGGCCGCAACCGGGCCGUGUUCCCCGACGACAUGCCCACCCUCAGUGCCUUGCCGUGGGAGGAGAGAGAAAAGAUCCUGUCUUCCAUGGGGAAUGAUGACAAAUCUUCAGUGGCGGGCUCGGAAGAAGCGGAGCCCCAGUCCCCUCCCAUCAAGCCUGUGAUGAGGCACACCAAGACUAUCCAGGAGGGAGGGGCGGUGCCCAGGAAGGGGCGGCGGUCGCGGCGCUGCAGGCAGUGUCCCGGCUGCCAGGUCCCCGACGACUGCGGAGUCUGCACCAACUGCCUGGACAAGCCCAAGUUCGGAGGCCGCAAUAUCAAGAAGCAGUGUUGCAAGGUCCGAAAGUGUCAGAACUUGCAGUGGAUGCCUUCCAAGAUUUUUCUCAAGAAGCAAGUGAAAGGCAAAAAAUACAAGAAGAAGAACAAACUGUCUGAAAAAAAGGAGGCAUUACACCCCGUCAAGGGCCCAACAAGCACUGAGCCCAGUCUCAAACAGUUCCCGCCCCCUUUGAAGGAGGAGCCCCCUCGCAAAAAGAGUGUAACCCCUCCCCCGAAGCCAGGUGAGGAGAAGCAAAAACAGUCACCGCCACAGUUGCAGUCCCCUCCAGCCGACAACCCUACCCCCCCAAACGACCAGGCCCCCAGCUGCACCACCGCCCCUGGGCAAGACCAGAAACAUCUUGCAACGGCACCCGCGGGCGCUGCUAGUAGGAAGGAACGUAAGCCUCAGCAGCCCACCCCUCCCUCCUCCCCUUUCUCUUCCUCAUCGUCCUCCUCGCUCCAGAGCUCCCCAUCCCCACCAACACCCCAGCUCCCGCAGCAGAGGCCCCAGCCCACCCAGGGGCCUGCAAGAAAGGAGGGAGGAGGGGCUCCCAAGUCUCCACCCACAGAAGCCAAGAGGAAGCCCCAGCAGCAGUGCUUGGCCACACCCAUCACAGACACAGCACCCGAAGGGAAGCAAAUGAAGAAACAGACUCCUCGCUCUGUCCCGCCACAACCUAAACCCACCAAACCAAAAGAAAAGCAGCAGAAGCCGUUGGCCACCAAACUUGAGACCAGUACUUUAAACUUGCUGAGCACUCCCUCGACUGGGGUCACCGCCAAGCAGAAAGUGCCCAGCGACGGAGUGCACAGAAUCAGAGUAGAUUUUAAGAAGGACCAUGAUGUGGAGAACGUGUGGGCCACGGGCGGCCUCAGCCUCCUCACCUCCGUGCCAAUCACUCCACGGGUCGUCUGCUUCCUCUGUGCCAGCAGUGGCAACGUCGAGUUUGUAUUCUGCCAGGUGUGCUGCGAGCCCUUCCAUCUCUUCUGCUUGGGGGAGACUGAGCGCCCUCUGGAGGAGCAGUGGGAGAACUGGUGUUGCCGCAGCUGUCGCUUCUGCCACACCUGUGGCCUCCAGCACCAGAAGACUAAACAGCAACUUCUGGAGUGUGAGAAGUGCCGAAACAGCUAUCACCCCGAGUGCCUGGGACCCAACCAUCCCACCAGGCCCACCAAGAAGAAACGGGUCUGGAUCUGCACCAAGUGUGUGCGCUGUAAGAGUUGUGGGGCCACAAAACCUGGGAAGGCCUGGGACGCCCAGUGGUCACAUGACUUCUCCCUAUGUCAUGACUGUGCCAAACUCUUUGCUAAAGGUAACUUCUGCCCCCUUUGCGAUAAGUGCUAUGACGAAGACGACUACGACAGCAAGAUGAUGCAGUGUGGGAGGUGCGACCACUGGGUCCACUCCAAGUGUGAGAACCUCACAGACGAGAUGUACGAGUUGCUGUCCAAGCUGCCAGAGAGCGUGGCCUACACCUGCACCAACUGUACGAAGCGUCAGCCGGCCGAGUGGAGGACGGCCUUGGAGAAGGAGCUACAGGGCUUGGUGCGCCAGGUCCUCACCGCGCUGCUCAACUCCCGCACCUCCACACACCUGCUCCGCUACAGACAGGCUGUGAUGAAGCCGCCUGAGUUGAACCCUGAGACGGAGAGUUUACCCACCCGACGCUCCCCCGAGGGGCCAGACCCCCCGGUCCUGACCGAGGUCGCACCCCCCAAUGACUCGCCCCUCGACCUGGAGUCGGUGGAGAAGAAGUUGGACGCGGGGCGCUACAAGUCUGUGCUUGAGUUCAGUGACGACAUAGUGAAGGUCAUCCAGACGGCCAUCAACUCAGACGGCGGGCAGCCGGAGAACAGGAAAGCCAAUAGCAUGGUCAAGUCCUUCUUUAUCCGGCAAAUGGAGCGCGUGUUCCCUUGGUUCAAAGUCAAGGAGUCCCGAUUCUGGGAAGCACACAAAUUCUCCACCAACAGUGGCCUCCUCCCCAAUGCCGUGCUGCCCCCCUCCCUGGACCACAACUAUGCCCAGUGGCAGGAGCGCGAGGAGAUCGCCCGUGCCGAGCAGCCCCUCAGGAAGAAGAUCAUCCCGGCCCCUUGCUCCAAGACCCACUUAGAGCCAGACUCCCCCCCUCCGCCCAGACCUCUACUUCCUCCAACACUCCCUAUGCUCCACGACCUGAGCCGUGAAGACAGUCCUGAGCUGCUCCCACCCCCUGGCGUCAGCGACAACCGCCAGUGUGUGCUGUGUCUCAAGUACGGAGAUGAUAACAUCAACGAGGGCGGCAGGCUGCUGUACAUCGGGCAGAACGAGUGGACCCACGUGAACUGUGCCCUGUGGUCAGCCGAGGUGUUUGAGGAUGACGAUGGCUCUCUGAAAAACGUCCACAUGGCUGUGAUCCGAGGGAAACAGUUGCGCUGCGAGAACUGCCAGCGUCCCGGCGCCACAGUGGGCUGCUGCCUGACCUCCUGCACCAGAAACUACCACUUCAUGUGUGCCCGGCAGCGCCACUGUGUCUUCCUGGAGGACAAGAAGGUCUACUGCCAGCGCCACCGGGACCUCAUCAAAGGAGAGGUGGUGUCUGAGUCUGGCUUCGAGGUCACACGGAGGAUCCUGGUAGACCUGGAGGGGAUCAGCUUGCGGCGGAAGUUCCUCACCGGCCUUCAGCCGGAGAACAUCCACAUGAUGAUAGGUUCCAUGACAAUCGAUUGCCUUGGAAUACUGACUGAGCUCUCGGAUUGCAAGCGCAAACUCUUCCCCGUCGGCUACCAGUGUUCCAGGGUGUACUGGAGCACUCUAGAUGCCCGGAAGCGAUGUGUCUACACUUGCAGGAUCCUGGUGUGUCGUCCCACCGUGGUGGAGCCGGACCUAAAGAGUGCUCUUCCAGAGGAGAACCGCACCAUCUCCCACAGCCCUUUAACUCCCAUCUCAGAGAAAGUCCUGUCUCCAGUGCCCAAGCCGUUUGACUCCCUGAAGCCCUCCGACCGCCUGUCCCUGCUGCCCUCCAGCCCCAAUCCUCCUAAAGUUUACAAACGGAACAGGCACCCCAGCUACCCCCCGUGCCAGCGAUCCCCUGGCUCCAGACCACUUCCAUCCCCAGACGGUACCUCCCAGUCUGCCCAUGAGAUUGUGACGGUGGGGGACCCACUUCUGAGUUCCGGCCUGAGGAGCAUUGGCUCCCGUCGCCACAGCACCUCCUCCCUCUCCCCCCAGCCCAGACAGAAGGUAGUCUCCUCUUCACAGGCCGCUAUGAACCAAUUGGCCCAGCUCUUCUCUUCCGCCCCACCCCUUCCCCUCUCCUCCUCCAGAGACCUGGGUCUGAGGGAGAAGGGGAAGCCACCUGCCACUGGCGUCCGAACGCAGGGCCGCGACACUAGUUCACUCAGCCCUGGAGGUCAACACAGCAGACACCACCACAGCAUCUCCGAGAUGAAGACAGACAGUGGGAAAGAAAGUGUGCCUGGCAAGCAGGCUGUGGGUGAGAACCCCAAACUUUCCCCAAAGGACCCAGAGAUGGCAGGAGCGAGCCAGGCCUCCCCACCACCAGGUAUAGGUGUCCUGACAGCGCACCAAAGGGCGAGCAGCAGCAACUCCCAAGCAGAGAAGGGGAAGCAGGACGGGAAGGACCCAGACCUGUCGGCUGGCGUCGCGCUCCUCUCCCGCCACCGCGUCACCACGACCCUGUCCAAGGACAAAGGUGGUGGUAGUAGUAACCUGGCCAAAGAGGGAGGUGUUACCUUGGCGCCAGCUUCUAAAGAUGCUGGAAAAUUGGGGUCUCCCCAGCCUCCAUUCCACAAAAGCGGUGGGAAGAAGUCCCAGGAUUAUCUGUUGGGAAAAGCCCCUGCCGCCGCCAUGAAGCCCCUGUGGUCUUCAGAGGCCAUGGCCAAGGAGGACGCCGUCAAACGGGGCACCCAAGCCACCCCGGCUGUCCCCUCCUGCCAUGCGGCCUCCACCACCAAAGACAAGCACUCCAAAGUCCAAAACAUUGACAGCAGAGAGGCAUCUAAAGAGUGGGAGAAGACUCCUCAGAACAGCAACAAGAACCCCAACAAUGCUAAAGAGACUGGUGGAACCACUAACGCUCCAACCCCAACUUCUCAGAACAGCAACAGCAAGGCUGCGACCCUCGGCAACAACACCAAAGCCAUUGGCAAGCAGGAGGUGGARRAGCUGGAGAAUCARGGAAGAGGRCGAUCUKCAAAGAGCAGGGAGAGAUUYUCSAGYCCUGAGAAGAACAGCUCCAGCCUAGAGACCAUAAAGCAGCCCAGGUUAGCCUCAGAGAGAAGCAUGAGGGCUUCRCAGGUUCAAGCAAGASUAACAGCCAACGAMRUCGCKGCUGCUAGAGACAARAAGCRSGCUAUAGUCAAGGCGUCCCUGACGCCGCURAAGACCGACCCKAACGGGACYAACACCGUGAGYWCUUCCUCUGACUCCUGCAYCACCRCUUCCAUCUGUCCWGYRGGCCWGGAGGGACCCCCCCAMMGYARGUCUUCCUGCUCCRYGCUCUUCUCMCCGUCRGCMYGCUCRGAGAGCUCMGAGUCGAMCAGCCCGSCACUGCACCCKGAGGACYGCGAGGAGAAGCGCCUCCUGGCUCACUGCACCGAGAACGAGGGGACCAGCGACAGGGAUGACCAYGCCYUGCUGGAGGAGGAAGGCGRCGACRGGGAYAAACRYCACGARGAYGACAGYGACUGCUCGGGYUCGRCCAAGMGRCGUUACCCAAGGCGCAGCGCCAGAGCCCGCUCCAACAUGUUCUUCGGCCUGACGCCUUUCUACGGAGUGCGCUCCUAUGGAGAGCAGGAUAUCCCCUUCUACAGCAGCAGCGGGGACGGGCCCGGGAAGAGGAAGGCCGGAGGCAGCAGGCGCUCGGCCGAAGGCCARGUGGACGGKGCRGACGAUAGGAGUAMCWCCUCCUCRGGGGACAGCGGAGAAGAAGAGGAAGGGGGAUUCARCCAGUGUUCCAACAAGGAUCCRUACUAUUACAACUUCACCCGCACCAUCAUCAACCCCGGCCCAGUGAUGCCCUCAAUCGAGGGGAUGGGCCAGUGCCUGGGGAGGGGCUCUCAGCUGCAGCGCUUCCUGAAGGAUGAGGCAGAGGAGGAGGAGAGGGUCGUUGCCGCUGUGGAUGAGGGUGUUCCCACCCGGAGCCUCCUGGGCCACCAGCAGAUCGGCCAGCUGGACGGCGUUGACGACAGCUCAGAGAGCGACGCCAGCGCAAGCACCAACACCACCACCACGGCCACCGCGGUGACUUCUUCCCACAAGAGCACGGGUAAGAGGAAGGGCAGAGAGAGGCACGCGGAGAAGCUGGAGCAUGACUCCAGGAAGGAGGCAGACAACAGCAGUGGAGGGGGUGGGAGCAGCGGUAGCAGCAGCAACAACAUCCGAGAAGGGAGGAAGAGCCAGAAGGACAACUCCCUCCCUCUGGGCGGGGUGAAGUCGUCCCAGGGACAGGACCCCCUGGAGGCGCAGCUCUCACUUAACACUGACCUUAAGUCGGACUCGGACAACAACAACAGCGACGACUGCGGCAACAUCCUGCCCUCGGACAUCAUGGAGUUUGUCCUCAACACGCCCUCCAUGCAGGCCCUGGGGCAGCAGCCUGAGGCCGCCUCCUCCGAGCUCCUCUCCCUGGACGAGGGCUACGGGGUGGGCGUCAACCGCCGCAAAGACAUCCUCUUUGAGGACUUCACCCAGCCGCUGGCCAGCACUGAGCCCGUGGAGAGCGGGGUGAGCACAUCCAUCUCGGUGGAAGAGCCGUACGGUCUACCUCUGGAGCUGCCCUCUGACCUCUCUGUCCUGACCACUCGCAGCCCCACAGUCAACAACCAGAACCACGGUGGCCUCAUCUCAGAGGGCUCAGAGUGCACCAUGCUGUCCCUGGCAGCCUCGGACGAGACAAUCGCUGAGAAAGGAGGCAUGGACAAGCAGCAGAGAGGAGGGGCCGGGGUGUCCCCUGAGAGCCAGCAGGAAGGAAGUGGAGGUAGCCGAGAAUCUCAGGUAAGAGAAGGUCACAUGAUCCCGGAGCAGUUUGAGCACAUCACCAGUCCCUCCCUGGGCGAAGUUGUAGAAGCAGGUAACCAGGAUCUGACCAGGAGUUCUGGGACCCCAGUCCUACCCAGCUCGCCCACCUUGCCUCUCCAGGGACAGAAGUACAUCCCUGCUCCAUCUUCAGUCAGUCCCGGACCUUCCCAUGUGGCCAGCACGACUGUCCUGACCACCUCUCAUUUAAAACCAGGACCAGAAAAACUCAUAGUGGUCAACCAGCAUCUGCAGCCCCUCUACGUCCUACAGACUCUCCCCAAUGGUGUCACUCAGAAGAUCCAGAUCAGGCCAUCGGUCAGCGCAACAGGAGUGAUGGAUACCAUGACUCUAACCACAGGGCUCACCACCGGGAUAACCACCUCCCAGCCCAUAUUUCCUGCUGGGGGUAAAGUGUUGGGCACCAUGCCCCAUCACCCUCAGAUCCAUACUUUCACCGGCACCACCCAGACGGGCUUCCAGCCUGGCAUUCCCAGCACCACCUCCGGCCUCCUGAUCGGGGUGCCCUCCCACGAGCCCCAGAUUCUGGUGACUGAGGCCGGACGGAGGCAUGACCUGGCCCCCAACGUGACCAUCGUGUCCAGUGCCUCCAUCUCCACGUCCUCGGCUGUGCUCGCAUCUGGACACGGCAGGAAGCGACCCAUCUCCCGUCUCCAGCCGCGGAAGACCAAGAAACUGGCCCGCUCCAGGAGCCAGCCCACCCUGGGCCCGUCUGAGGUGAGACCCAACAUGACCCUGAUCAACCUGUCCUCGCCACAGAUGGCCCAGUCCGAGCUGUGCACCCUGACCACGGCCGCCACCACUUCUCACAGCAAAGUCCCCAACAUUAUCAAGAGACCCAAAUCGGGAGUCAUGUACUUUGAGCCCAUCCAGCAGAGGAUGCCUCUUCCCAGUGGGCAUCCUGGCAUCCUGGGCCACGCCUCCUCCACCCACCUGCUGCCCUGCACAGUCUCAGGGCUCAACCCCAACCAGUCAGCAGUGCUGAAUAUGGUGUCCAUGGCUCAGCCCAGCAGGCCCGGAGGCCUCAUCACGCCAGGCUCUGUCUCUCUCAGCACCCCGGUGCUCAGCUCCACUGAAAUCACAGGACCCAUCAGCAGCCUCCUCUUCAAAGCCAGCCCACACAACCUGGGCCUUCCGGAGCAGCAGAUGCUGCUCCAGUCUGGAGCUCCUCUGAUGUCCCAGCUGUGCAGCCCCGUCCAGACCUCCAUUGCCAGCAGCAUCUGCGUGCUUCCCUCUCAUCAGACCAUCAGCAUGUCUGUUAGCCAGCAGGUGGACCCGGAGAGCGGCGCCUUCCAGCGGCAGCAGCACUCACCAACUGCCAGUGGACAACCUGCUGCUUCGGCCCCCAGCCCGGUCCAACAGGAUUCCAACAAGGGACACAUGGUCGGAGUGCUUUCCCAGAGUUCCAGCUCUCAAAGCUCACACACCAUGCCUAAAUCCAGGUCCUCAGAGCAGAAACAAGAGCUGAAGUGUAGCGCUGCAGUAACGGCAUCCACGUGCUCGGGGAAAGGCAAGCAGAAAGCCAAGCGGACAAGGCACAGUCCAGACAAGGCCAGCGGGAAAAAACACAAGGGUUGGCUGGCAGAGCCUCCUCGGGAGAUGCAGGGAGACCGGCCCACUUCCGCUCCUGGGUCUAGAGAGCCAGUCUCUCCCGAGCCCAUGGACACAGGCAAGCCCAGAGAGAGGGACACCAGCAAAAAUGUUUAUUCUGCCAAGUCUGCUGAACCUCCUGCACAAACCAGUGAGUUCCCUGAGGAGAAAAGCAAGACCACCGCUGGUUCUCUACUGGGGGCCACCCCUGACCAGGAGCGUAGCUGCAGGGACUCUUCUAUAGACAGCAAGCCCAAGAAGGGACUCAUCUUUGAGAUCUGCAGCGACGACGGUUUCCAGAUCCGCUGCGAGAGUAUCGAAGAGGCCUGGAAGUCCCUGACAGAUAAAGUCCAGGAGGCCCGCUCCAAUGCCAGACUCAAAGAGCUCUCCUUUGAAGGAGUGAACGGCCUGCGGAUGCUGGGGGUCCUCCACGAUGCUGUGGUGUUCCUGCUGGAGCAGCUGUAUGGUUCCAGGCACUGUCGCAACUACCGCUUUCGCUUCCACAAGCCCGAGGAGGCCGACGAGCCCCCGAUCAACCCCCAUGGCUCAGCCCGCGCCGAGCUUAACCACAGGAGGUCUGUGUUUGACAUGUUCAACUUCCUGGCCUCCAAGCAUCGCCAGCCUCCCGAGUACAACCCCAACGAGGAGGAUGAGGAGGUGCAGCUCAAGUCUGCUCGCCGGGCCACCAGCAUGGACCUCCCCAUGCCCAUGAGGUUCCGACACCUGAAGAGAACGUCCAAGGAGGCGGUGGGGGUCUACAGGUCAGCCAUACACGGCCGAGGGCUGUUCUGCAAGCGGAGCAUCGACGCGGGGGAGAUGGUGAUCGAGUACUCGGGCAACGUCAUCCGCUCUGUCCUCACCGACAAACGGGAGAAGUACUACGACGGCAAGGGUGUUGGCUGUUACAUGUUCCGCAUCGACGACUAUGAAGUGGUGGAUGCCACCGUGCACGGCAACGCCGCCCGCUUCAUCAACCACUCGUGCGAGCCCAAUUGUUACUCACGUGUCAUCAACGUGGACGGGCAGAAGCACAUCGUCAUCUUCGCAACACGCAAAAUCUACCGCGGUGAGGAGCUCACCUACGACUACAAGUUUCCCAUCGAGGAGCCGGGCAAUAAGCUUCCAUGCAACUGCGGAACCAAGAGGUGCCGGAAGUUCCUCAACUAGCCCCCCCACUCUGAUGUGUGAUGGGAGUGGUGUUAGCGGUCCCCUCGACUAGCACGAAGCCAUCCAUGCACUGCCAGGUCUUAGAGUGCAGAAUGAUGCUUCCAGUACUGCGCUCCCUUGUUGCUGUAAGGCUUGGGAAGAAAGUUAAAAAAAAACCCCACAAAGACCGGCCUGAAAGAUGACCUCACAGGACAGUUUGUUUCAUUUCAGAGGGAAAAUGAUUGAGGGACAGCAUUCUAAAUUAACAUCGAAAGGUCACACUGAAUAAACUAACAGACUUCAAAGAUGGCUUUGGUAAUCCUUUUACAAAUUCCAAAGGCUCCGACUCCUCUACAGAUCCAAAGCAGUGAAGUGUCAGAUGUUUUUAGAACAGCCCAUUAGUCAAGUGUUUUAAAUGGUAGACUCUGUUGUUUCUUGGACUUCAUAAUACCAUGCCACACCAGUGGCCCUUGUCCUUCACUUGUAAUUAUGAUAGAUAUAUCUAUAUCGAAAUAGUAACAUGUACUUCAGCAUCUAUACAAUAUACAGAAUGGACAGAAACUUAGUUACAGUAGCAAACAGCAGGUUUGUAAUGGUUCAUAGCAGUGUUCAAUGUACUCUAAUGGUUUUGUGUUACAGUAUCAGUUUAGAAUAACUAACGUACAUUUUUGUAUAUUGAUAUCCAGUAACAGGUUUCCUGUGUAUGUUCCUUUUGGCGGGAGCUUUGCAGUUUCUUUCUCUUUUUUUUUCUCGAAAAUAAACAGUAUUUAUGUCAUGAUGUAUAAAGUGGUUCCGAACUUCUUGAGGUCAGCCAUUUUAUUUUGUGUUUUGAUUGUUGUAGUGAAUGUUUUUUUUUAAUUCUUUGUACAUUUUUUAACAGGGAUUUUAGACUACCUACUUGAUUGUGGUAUGAUUGAGUUUGUGGAGACCAGGAAAAAACAAAUCCCACCAAUGUUAUUUUACCCUCUUCCAUGUCUCCCUCACCACCCCUCUUCGGGAAGCUUUGGUUGUACUUAUGUACUAUUUUAUAGAAAGUGAUGAUGAAAAAUAGGUUUUAUUUAUUUAUUUUGUGUAUUGGAACGUCCAUGAAUUUAUUUACAGGUCAAGGUAGUUGCUGGAACCUGCUUGAAAGAUGUUGGGGGUGGGUAAAAAUACUCCACUUUAUUUGUAAUUGUUCCUUGUGUAUAGAACUUAUCAGCCUGAGAUGAGACGUGGCAUCAAGGAGUUGGCGGUAGGACUUGGAAAUGGUUAAACGGCACUCUUCCUAUGCCUUGAAUAUACCUUUGUCUUAUUAACACUUCCUCCUGAACUCCAUGAGAAAUAAUGAUAUUUUUCCCUGUUAGUUGUACAUCAGUGUUCUCUCAUGUGUCACAGAAAUGAAGGAAAGUUGAACCACAUGAGUAAACUACUUAAGGUUGAAUGUAUAAUUAGGAAACAAAAUUGUACAUAACUGUAAAAAGAAAAGUUUCUAAUCAUGUUUAUUUUCUAUGCACUUUUUUUAUUUAAGUGAUAGUUUAAAUAAUAAACAUGUCUCGUUUACUCUUU